GUUAGUAGCUGUUAAGUAUUUGAUUACUCCUUUCCUACAAAAAAGCAUUUCAAACCCAAAGGGAAUAUGGCUCAUUUAUUUGCUGAGUGGGACUGGAGGCCCAUAGCCGCAGAAGAUCCUGGCCCCACAGCAGCAGAGAGCAAGCUCAGAGUGCUGUCAGGUCUCUCCUGCUGCCUCUCGCCAUGAUGAUGUAGUGGAAAAAUGGUCAACAAAGCUAUUUCCUACUGUGAGCUAAAUGCCCAUCAUGGGAAGUCCCAGGUGAUACAUCCUCUUCGCAGACAGCAGAAAAACAGCAGAUUUGUGAUUUAAUUGGGAGUUUUCUGGGAUCGAACAGUGGCUUCGUUUACAGACGUGACAGCUUGAGCCGGAGGGUGCCAGCCAGUGCCAUGAUGUGACCAAGGCCCUCAACAGCAGAGCCGCAAGGGAGCAGGAGCCUUGGUCCCUGAGGACAUGCUGGAGCUAACUUGGGAAUCCUGAGGUGGCCACCUCCAAAAUUUUACAUGAAAGAGAAAAGUAAACAUCUAACUUGCUUAAGCUGCUAUUGUUUUGGGGUUUGUCAUUUACAGCCAAACCUAAUCCUCAUUAAAAUAGUG